AAAGGUACUCAAGGGCGCUAAAUGGAUGCCUAGACGUAUAUUACCGAUGAAGGACGUGGAAGACUGCGAUAAGCUUCGGGAAGCUGUCAACAAGCUUUGAUCCGGAGAUCUCCGAAUGGGGAAACCCAGCAUGAGUCAUGUCAUGUUGCCACUUGCUGAACACAUAGGCAAGCGAGCGGGAACCAUCUGAACUGAAACAUCUUAGUAGGAUGAGGAAGAGAAAGUAAAUAACGAUUGCGAAAGUAGUGGCGAGCGAAAUCGCAACAGCCCAAACCUUUUAAGUUUUUGCCUAUUAAUUUAGGCAAAUAAGUUGAUAGACGAAUACUUAUAAGGGGUUGUGAUAUUACAUAUGACCAAGUCAGAGAAUUUGAUUCAUUCAAAUAAUCUGAUUUGCGAUAACUGGCUAUCAACAGUUAGUAAGGUAAGAAAUCGGCGUGGUUAGUAGAAUAGUUUGAAUGACUAGCCAAAGAACGUGAAAGCCGUGUAUAUGAAAACGACGCUGACCUUAUGUAUGUUUUAUCGAGUAGGACGGGGCACGAGAAACCCUGUUUGAAUCUGGCUGGACCACCAGCCAAGGCUAAAUAUAAUAUACGAUCGAUAGUGAACUAGUACAGUGAUGGAAAGGUGAAAAGAACCCCGGGAGGGGAGUGAAAUAGAUCCUGAAAUUUAGUGCCUACAAGGAGUCGGAGCCGGCUUGUCCGGUGACGGCGUGCUUUUUGUAGAACGAUCCAGCGAGUUAAUUUUUACAGCGAGGUUAAGUCAAUUGACGGAGCCACAGUGAAAGCGAGCCUGAAUAGGGCGAUUAAGUUGUAAGGAUUAGACCCGAAACCGGGUGACCUAACCAUGAGCAGGUUGAAGCCACUGUAACAGGUGGUGGAGGACCGAACCAGGAUACGCAGCAAAGUGUUUGGAUGACUUGUGGUUAGCGGUGAAAUGCCAAUCGAACUCGGAGAUAGCUGGUUCUCCUCGAAAUAGCUUUAGGGCUAGCGUCGUGUUAGUAGCACAUGGGGGUAGAGCUCUGUAAAGGACUGGGGCGGGCAACUGUACCCACCCUUAACAAACUACGAAUACCAUGUGUGUAAUCACGGCAGUUAGAACAUCGGUGCUAAGAUCGGUGCUCAAAAGGGAAACAGCCCAGACCAUCAUCUAAGGUCCCUAAAUUAACGUUCAGUGGGAAACAAGGUGAGAUUUCUUAAACAGCUAGGAUGUUGGCUUAGAAGCAGCCAUUCAUUUAAAGAGUGCGUAACAGCUCACUAGUCAAGAGAUCUUGCGUGGAAAAUGUAACGGGGCUAAAACGUUAUACCGAAGAUAUGGAUGUAUGUUGUUGUAAGUAUAGCUGUUCAUACUGAGACGCUUGAAGAGCUUGUAGUUUAUCGAGCCAUUUAUGGCGACGGAGAAUUAUGGGCUAGACCUAAGAAAAUGUUUUUAGAUAAUAUUGAAAAAUACGGAAAGAUCAUUCCAAGGUUUAAAUUGAUUAAGAAACUUUGAUUUUGUUCUUAGUGUGUAGUGGUAGAGGAGCGUUCCUAUCAGCGGUGAAGUCGAAUCGGAAGGUUCGGUGGAGCGGUAGGAAGUGAGAAUGCUGGAAUGAGUAACCAUAAGAGAGGUGAGAAUCCUCUCGGCCGUAAGAGCAAGGUUUCCUGAGCCAUGGUAAUCAUCUCAGGGUGUUAAGUUUUGUACACUGUUCACGGGGAAGUAAUCGAAGCGGAUUCAUGGUUUAUCCGUCCAACCGAGCGGGAACGCAAAGGGAGUGAAAGUGAUUCUUCGGAGUCGCGAUUUUGGUGAAAGCCCUGGCUAGAAAAGCAGGUGUACGCGUGGACUUAGCCGCCCGUACCGCAAACCAACACAGGUGCUCGAGUCGAGUAGACUCAGGCUUACGAGCGAACCUUCGCUAAGGAACUCGGCAAUACAGCGACCGUAACUUCGGGAUAAGGUCUGCCCCCACUUCGGUGGAUAUCAGCCGCGUUCACUCAGUGAAUAUUAGGUUAAAGAGUACAUUUUUAAUCACAAAACGAAUUUUCUGAGAUAGAGCAAACGAAUUGUUCUUUUGAACGCGAACCUCUGACAUCUAACGAUGUGGGGGCCGCAGCAAAAGAGCCCACGGAACUGUUUAUCAAAAACACAGGUCUCUGCUAACACGAAAGUGGAUGUAUAGGGGCUGACUCCUGCCCAAUGCUGGAAGGUUAAGGGGAGCGCUUCACGGUGCGAACUGAAGCCCUAGUCAAUGGCGGCGGUAACUAUAACCGUCCUAAGGUAGCGAAAUUCCUUGUCAGGUAAGUUCUGACCCGCACGAAUGGAGUAAUCAUGUGGGCACUGUCUCAGCGAAGGACUCGGUGAAAGUGCAUUGGCGGUAAAGAUGCCGUCUGUCCGUACCAGGACGAAAAGACCCCAUGGAGCUUUACUACAGCUUUACAUUGAAUAUGGUUUCAACAUGUGUAGCAUAGGUGGGAGACUUUGAAGCAGAUACGCCAGUAUUUGUGGAGUCACCAAGUGAAAUACCACCCUUGUUGUGAUUGUGUUCUCACGCUGACCGUUAUCCGGUUAGCGGACCGUGUAUGGUGGGUAGUUUAACUGGGGCGGUUGCCUCCUAAAGAGUAGCGGAGGCGUUCAAAGGUUGGCUAACUUCGGAUGGAAAUCGAAGUGAU
rnacentral:rRNA from 1 species